rnacentral:misc_RNA from 1 species
GAUGAAGAACGUAGCGAAAUGCGAUACGUAAUGUGAAUUGCAGAAUUCAGUGAAUCAUCGAAUCUUUGAACGCACAUUGCGCCCGCCAGCACUCUGGCGGGCAUGCCUGUUCGAGCGUCAUUUCAACCAUCAAGCCCCAGGCUUGCGUUGGAGCCCUGCGGCUGCCGCAGCCUCCUAAAAGCAGUGGCGGGCUCGCUAUCACACCGAGUGCAGUAGAUUACUCUUCGCUCAGGGCGUGCAGCGGGUUCCGGCCGUGAUACCCCCUACUUUUAAAGGUUGACCUCGGAUCAGGUAGGAAUACCCGCUGAACUUAAGCAUAUCAAUAAGCGGAGGA